UGACCGUGUAACUGAAGAAAUCAGUCGAGGUCGAGCUUUCUAAACGGUCGGAGCCAAGAAGGAACGUUCGCUAAAGUAUCCCAAUAAGAAAAGUUACUGUGAAAAGAUGGCAAAAUUAAUCUUAUACGUCUUCGUAGCGUUACUAGCUGCGUCUCUUAUCAUGGCCGCCGAUAAGUCAAGCUGUGGUCGACAUGGUGACCCCUGCGUUUCUGACUCACAAUGCUGUGCCAAUAUAAAAUGUCACCGUUACGCAAAUAGAUGUCAAGUCCAAAUUACUGAAGAGGAACUGAUGCGUCAACGUGAAAAAAUCUUGGGUCGAAAAGGCAAAGAUUAUUAGAAGAUGUAACAAUGUGUUAAUAUUUUGUUAAGUCGUGAGUCUAAUCUGAAGACUGUAUUUCAAGAAAUUGGGCAAUUAAUAUAUUAAUAUAUAAGAUUCGUAUAAUAAUCAAAAAAUUAUUGUACGACGUAUAUACAUAUUCAGUAUAAAUGUAAAUAAUGCGAUAUCUUUCGACGAGAAAUGCAAAAAAGAGCAUAAAUUGGAAAUGUUUUAUACAUCAAGAGAGAUUUGUGAAAAUACAUAAAGUACAUAUUUAUCUACAUUAAAAAAAUUUUUUUUACUUUUAAUUUUGUGUAAGAUAUUUGCCAUCAUACUACGUUAACAUCUUUUUGCAUAAAAUAAGAAAUAAUUCAUUACUCACCGAUACGAUGCAUAACGGCAAAAUUGUAGUACGUAUGUUGAUCUGUAAAAUAUAAAUAAAUUUAAAUUAAAAUAAUGUUCGAAGUAACUAAUAUUUUUAAUUUAAUUAUACGCAAUUUAUUAUUUGUUCAGAAUCAGAUACUUUUUGUUCUUAACUCAGAUAUUUAAUUUAAAAAAUUAUAUAUAUAUACAUAAUCACUGAAAAAAUUUUUUUUACUAGACAUAAAUUUUUGUAAAAAAAUAUAAAUGAUUUAAUUGAAUUAAAUUUUUAUAAAUAAAAAAUUUAAGUCUGACAUAAAUAAUAAAUAUAAAUCUUAAACAUAAAAUAAAAAUAUUUUUGAUAUGUAAUUACAUGUAAUUAUAUAAUAAUAUGGUAAAUUGUAUAUUUUUAUGACAAUAUGGUAAAUCAUCAGUGUAGAAGCCACUUCACAAGUUUUUUGGUAAUUCAUAUUUUAUACAUUUUAAGGCGUAAAAGCUGAAUCUGCUUUCUUAAAGUUCUUAUUUUGUAUGUAAUUGUAAUUUUUGAACGCAGUGAUUGUAUGUGUAUUAUACCCAACAUUGCUAUAAAUUUGAAAAUAAUAUGUCUUUUAUAAAUAAUAAAGCAAAUUUUUAAUUUAAAAAAUGAUGCACAAACUAUUACAUAUAUUACCGAUGCGAUAUAUUGUAUUUAUGUAUAAUAUAAAAUCGCGCGUUCGACACUUUUCUUAAUAUUCUCGAUACUGUAAUCUUACUUGGCGAUAUUUUUAUUCUCAUAACUUACUAUUGUAUUAUUUCUGCUGAUAUAUUCUGAGCUUGUGUUUGUUUGAAUUAUCGCACAUUCGCAUUAACGACGCAAUAUAUUACAUCUAGACAUACUAUGACAAUCGCCCGAUAUUAUAUAUAUUUUCGGCACUGCCAGUACACAACACACACACUGUAUGCUUACUCUUGCGCGAAUAAUAUUUAUUUGAACUAACCUUGCGCGCGCCUCUCUAACCGUAACUCUGAUGCGAUGAGACAAGUGAUUCUUACGACUGUGACAUACUGUACCGUAAUAUAAUUAUGACUCUGCGAUCAUAGCGUUAAUUACAGCAAUUCUUCGACACGAUUGCGUUCCUUCGAUGCUCGAUUACGAUUAUAUUUACACCACAAGCGUCCCGAUGCCACAAAUAACCACGGGUAUGCAUUCUAGACGGCACGUUCCGAUUCCGCGCGCAACUUCCGAUUCCGCUAGAGAUACGCGCGUAACGUCGUGUCGCGUCGUGACAGCCAUAUUUGACUCACGUAGUAUCUCGGAACGUCGGAAUCGGACCAAGACUAACGGAAUCGGAAAUUGGAAUGUUUAACGCUUUCCGUGCUCGUUUGCAAUAUAUUGCGCGCGGUCAUUUGUGAUGUCGGGACGCUUGUGGUGCAGAUAUAAUCGAAAAAUCGUAAGUGUCGAAGAAACGCAAUCAUGUCGAAGCACUCCGAUUAAUGUUGCGAUCAAGGUUAUAGAGGAUAAA